AGCAGCCGCGGUAAUUCCAGCUCCAAUAGCGUAUAUUAAAGUUGCUGCAGUUAAAAAGCUCGUAGUUGAAUUUCGGGACUAAUAUGUUGGUCGUGCCUCGGUACGUACUGGCAUGUUAGUUUCUACCUUCUGAUGAACCAUGAUGUCAUUAAUUUGGUGUCUUGGGGAAUCAGGACUGUUACUUUGAAAAAUUAGAGUGUUUAAAGCAGGCUCACGCUUGAAUACAUUAGCAUGGAAUAAUGAAAUAGGACGUUCGAUUCUAUUUUGUUGGUUUCUAGGAUCGACGUAAUGAUUAAUAGGGAUAGUUGGGGGCAUUAGUAUUCAAUUGUCAGAGGUGAAAUUCUUGGAUUUAUUGAAGACUAACUACUGCGAAAGCAUUUGCCAAGGAUGUUUUCAUUAAUCAAGAACGAAAGUUAGGGGAUCGAAGACGAUCAGAUACCGUCGUAGUCUUAACCAUAAACUAUGCCGACUAGGGAUCGGAUGAUGUUAAUUUUUAAUGUACUCAUUAC
rnacentral:rRNA from 1 species